GACCACUAAACUUGUUGUUGGCCAAAGUGAGAUAAAGGACAGGUGUGGAACCGAGAUUACCAGGAAGCCGUUGUGAGAAUUUGUUGUUGUUGAUGAAAAGCACAUCUAGGUCUAAGGUGAAGACUUUAGCUGGAACUGACCCUGAAAAUGAGUUGAACCUGAUGUCUAAAAAGGUUAAGUUGAUGGCUUGGAGAACAGACACAGGGAAUUCACCAGAGUACUUGUUGUUGCUGAGAUCGAGCUCAAAUAAGUAACGGACUCUGGAAGUGCUAAUAUUCAUUGGCACAGGACCAGUGAAAUUGUUGGAGUUCGCAUGAAAGAUGGAUAAGUCCAGCAACUUAUCGAGGAAACCUGUGAGCUGAAGAUCCGGGCCACCAAAAUGGUAGCCGUUGAAAUCUGCCGCUGCAAGGGCUGUCACCUUCUGGUCAGGUACAGUUGCACAUUUAAAGCCUGGAUAACUACAGACAUCAUUUCCCACCCAUUUUUUUUUAAUGUUCAUGGGAUCAUAAGUAAUCAAUUCCUUGAAUGUCUGAAUUAUGUGAAAGUCUCUUUCGAUGUUUUUGCUCACAAAACCAUUACUUGGCGGCGGAGGCCGAGGAGAAGGAGGAGGCGGAGGGGAUGGCCUUGGAGGAGGGGGCGGCGAGGGCGGGGGUGGCGGAGAGGGGGGAGGGGGCGGCGGAGGGGGAAAACGUUUGGGAGGUGGCGGCGAGGGCGGGGUGGCGGCGGGGGGAGAGGGCGGGGGGGGGAGAGGGGGAGGGGGCGGCGAGGGGGAGGGGGCGGAGGGGGCGGCGGGGUGGAGGUGGGGGAGGGGCGGCGAGGGCGGAGGGGGGGAGAGGGGGAGGGGGAGGCGGGGGACAAAGGGGUUCGGGAGGGGCGGGGGAGGACAAAUUUCAUUCUCAGGAGAAGGGGCAGGAGAAUAUCCAUCCCCACCCCCACCUAUGAUUAUUUCUAAAGCUUCCCUCUCUGUCCCAACAGCCGCAUUGUAAUGCAAGCAUGAAUGAAAAAUGAGAGUGAAAAGUAGAAUUGAAGAACACAAAGAAGCGGUACCCAUCUAUACUGGCUGAAGGGUCUCUGGACUUGAGAGAGUAAAGAGAACAGGGACAUAUAUAUAUUACUAUGAAGAGGGUAGAGGUAGACCAUAAGUAAAGGAAGUCAAGAUUCACGAGCAUACAAAAGUUUGCAAAAGAAAAGUUGUCUUAGGGUGGGACUGUUGGGAUCUCAUUUUCAGACACUCCAUCCCUGCGAAUCAAACCUUUCUUUUGGGACAUGGUGGCAGCUAUUCUAUAGUAACAUGGUUCGAAGUGUCUUUAUAGUGCGCCAUCCCUCGUGGGACAUGAAUAUCACGGAAAGAGCGGAAAAUAAAAGGAAAUCAUCUGAAUUUCCAAGGACUUCAGUAAGAAAUUCUUGGUUUUAUUUGCUGCUGAGGAUGAAGGUGUAGGGACAUUAAAUUAAACUUUUAACUCAAUAAUUGGAUCUUGACAUUAGUGGGGACAACAUCUUCUUCAGUUAUUGGACUUCAUCUGUCAUGUAUGAGAGUUUUAUCUUGUGACUAUUCUUGAUAAAUUUGACUUUUCUUCACUUGUUUUCGACCAUAGGUUCUUAAGAUACUCGUCGGAAUAUAGAUAGCCUGUCGAAUUGUGCGCUCUAAUGAAAGAUCUUGAGCUAAGGAUACCAUUUGCACAUGGGUUCAAUGGACAGCCACCACCCGCAACCACCAACACGUCAAACAUCACAAAACCUGUGAAUUUUAAAAAGUUGCCCCAUUGAUGUAACAUAAAUUUAGGAUGUGAAGUUCGAUGGAUCAUCGGUGUGUCUCUUACCCUGCUUCUCAAUUGUUGAGAUUCGUCUCAUUGCAUUUUUAAACUCUUCAAUCAUAGAGCUGAGAAUGAACUUGAAAAAAGCAAAUGAAUGCUUCCCUUCUGUUUCCUACUCGGUAUCUUUCAUUUUGGCGCUUGACAUCCCCCCCUUCUCACAAUCAGAAUCUUUGCAUGCUUCCCUUGUGUUUCCUACUCGAGAAUAAGAAAGAAUAUGGAAUGGCAUAUUGAUGAUUAAUAUUCUCUCAAGAAGAUACCGUCCUCGAUCUAAACUUAAACAAGCGAAAGAAAACAGCGUAAGAAUUUCAGGGAAAGAUGUCUUAAAACAAAAGCGAAAAAAGUGACUGUAUAAUAUGAAGUUAGCAGCCAUACAAUGAUCAAAAACCAUUCAACUGGGCCAGUUGUCAGCGGCUGAGGUGCACUAGAAUUUGAUCCUAAAUUCAGAUCCUUGAGAAAAAACAAUGCAAUGUUCAUGAUUCUGUGCUCAAACAAGCCUUUGAUUGAACAACAACAAGGGCCUUCGCUGUUCAGAGAACCAUCUCAAUUGUGUACAGUGCCAAGUGAAUCCGAACCCAUAUACACAUGCAGAGGGCAGACAUUAUUUUCUCCACACUACCGGUUCAAAUUAACCUCAAGUCCACCAAGAUAUGGAUUCUAACAAUCCCCGGUUCUUAAAGGCCCAAAAUUUAUUCGAAACUUACCUACUCAUUUCGUGGAGCUCUACACAUUCUAAAUUUUUCUAAGCACGUGAAUUUCUGAUUUCAAAGGUCCAACAAACGUCAAUGGAGCCUUACCAGACAAUCAUGCAAUAGGAGAACCUGUACAAUUUCCUAGUCUUAGGAAACAUAAAGUCGGAUGCAAAACAGCACACGUUACCCUUUCCCGAGUUAAUAGCCCGAUCAACCAGAACCACGACAAUCUUAACACGCUUGUUCACCACAAAUCCAAAUGGACCGACGUCUGCUCACACAUAAACUAGUCAACCAAGAAAAAGGAAAAUUAGUGGACAUGAGAGUUAAACUUGAAGCAUAUAUUAUGCAGUUUAAGAAAAAAGACAACCAACCUCAAAGAAGACAAGAACAGCACAAGAAAAUUUAGAAUCAAGACUUUUCUUCUGUUACAACAAGUCUUUUAUGAGAUUAAAAAAAUCAGAGAAGGCAAUAAUUCAUGAAAAAAAGAGCAAACUAGAAUAUAAUACACUCAGUUUCAAUGACUUUUCUAUAUUUUCUUGCUACAGUGAUUUGGGGAAGGGUGGGUGGGUGCGGGUUUUCUCACAUGCUUUGAUGCCAAGUUUGAUUGCCAAAUAGUCUCAAUCAGAGAAAAUCAAGUCUUCAUCAUGUUUUCAGUAACUGUGCCCCAGUUUUCUACGAGAAUUUGUAUAUAUUUAAACGAAAGAGAGCAUGUUUCAUAAAAGCAACCUUUUUACAUAUUUUAAGUUUGACAUGUUUACCAGGAACAUGCUUGGAAACCAGGUCAUUUUUCUCUGUUUUAUUUCAUAGGGUACAUUAUAUACAAUCUCAAACCACAGCCUAGACAAGGAGAGCAAGAACAAGAAUUUUCCCAGGAAAAAUAAACCCAAAACCUAUUAACCAACUGACAAAUUAUUGUUCUAUUUAUUUGUGCAUCCCGACUUUCCAACCAUCAUCAGAUCACUAAUCAUCAACCGGAAAUCUGUCUUACCAGACCACAUGGAUUCAAUGCCAUACCAGCUUCAUAUACUAUUUUUCCCAUAUAUGGCUCAUGGCCACAUGAUCCCGACAGUAGACAUGGCAAGAUUAUUGGCUAGGCAUGGAGUGAAAGCAACCAUUGUUUCCACUCCUCUUAAUGCACCCCUCUGCUCUAAAACUAUUGAAAGAGAUAGACAACUGGGUCUUGAUAUCAGUAUUCACAUUAUAAAAUUCCCUUCUGCAGAAGCUGGGCUGCCAGAAGGAUGUGAGAACCUAAGUUCUAUUCCCUCGCCUGACAUGCUUCCGAAUUUCUUAAAGGCCAUCGGCAUGCUUCAGCAACCACUUGAACAGCUCCUAGAAGAAUGCCAUCCCAGUUGUCUUGUGGCAGACAUGUUGUUUCCAUGGGCUACAGAAGCUGCACACAAGCUCAGGAUUCCAAGGUUGUUUUUCAAUGGAACAGGUUUUUUUCCUGUGUUCUUCGAUUCCCUAAAACGCUAUGAAACUCCCAAAGGAGUAGAUUCAGAUUUCGAACCAUUCGUGGUGCCUGGUUUACCAGAUCAGAUAGCUGACAAGAUUACGACUGCCGGCUUUCAUUAAAGAGAGAACUGAGAAUGAACUUACAAAGCUGAUGGAUAAAGUCUCAGAAUCAAUGGUGAGAAGCUAUGGAGUCCUCACGAACAGUUUCCUUGAGCUGGAACCAGCUUAUUCAGAGCACUACAAGAUGGAAAUAAAAAGGAAAACAUGGCACAUCGGGCCGCUGUCCCUUUGCAACAGGGACAUGAAAGAUAAGGCAGAGAGAGGCAACGUGUCCUCCUUUGAUGAACAUUAAUGUAUGAGAUGGCUGGCCAAAAAGAGCCUCAACUCAGUUCUAUAUAUAUGUUUUGGAAGCUUCUUCAACCUUUCCGCUGCUCAUUUACUUGAGAUUGCCAUGGCCCUGGAAGCUUCUGGACAGAAUUUCAUUCGGGUUGUGAGAGAGAGAAAGCAAACAAAGCUUGCAGAAAAGGAGGAGUGGUUGCCAGAAGGAUUUGAGAAAAGGAUGGAAGGGAAGGGCUUAAUAGUAUCGGGAUGGGCACCGCAAGUGGUGAUCCUUGAUCAUAAAGCUGUUGGAGGGUUCAUGACUCACUGUGGUUGGAACUCAACAUUGGAGGGAGUGACUGCAGGGGUGCCGAUGGUCACAUGGCCACUUGGUGCGGAACAAUUUUGCAAUAAAAAGCUGAUUACCGAUGUUCUCAAAAUAGGAAUUGGAGUUGGUGCCCAGGAAUGGUCAAGAUAUGAAAAGAAAAUUAUAGUGAGGAAGGAGGACAUAGAGAAGGCAAUUAUUCAGUUGAUGGUUGGUGAAGAAGCUGAGGAAAUAAGAAACAGAGCAAGGGUACUGAAAGAGAUGGCAAGGAGGGCUACGAAAGAAGGAGGAUCAUCUUACUCUGAUUUAACUGCAUUUCUUGAAGAAUUAUAGGCCCUUGAGACAAGCAAGCAAGAACGUGCACCACAUUAACAAGACUGUCUUGUUGCAUCAUUCUGAAAACUAGAAGAGUGUGAAGAAAAAGGAAAAAAAAAGGUAUCCCGUAGAAUGCUAAAUGUUGCUUCUCAGAUAUUUAGUUUUUCAACAAAAUAAAAGAAAGAGCGUUCUACAUGAAUUUUGCAUCCAUACAACAGUCAUACAUAUCCGUGGUUUCAAUGACAUGAUAGCUUUAUUGAUGACUCCAAUGGAUACAAAGUCUAAAAGUCUAAACAAACUACUUGAUUUGAAAUGUGCUAGCUUGUUUUCUGUUCAAAACGAAAACCAUACACUUUGAUUCCAUUCUAACAUUAAUUCAUGAAAUCUCUUAAAGGGUUAUGGCUCUAAACCCAGUUGAUCGUAAAUCACAGCUGGACUUGUCUACUUAAGGAGGAAGUCCUAUGGGAAUCUCUGAAAAUGUUAAACAUGAUAAAGCUAGCAGAAGCACUCACCUUAACCAGCUAAUUAAAGAUCCUGGCUGACCACAAGCUGCAACUCGGGAAGUACUCAUCCAAGUAUGAUGAAAACUUGGAUAUAUAAUCUUUACGCAUACAUAAUUAAAGAAAACCCGAAGAAUUUUAUUUUAUUUUAUUAGAAAAUAACUCGCAGCACAAGUUUCCAACACCUCAGUCCGUGAAUAACAAGAUUUGCAAGCAAAGAAUAAGGAGUUUUAAUAAAGGAUAGAAGUUCUCCAAAGUAGAUAUCAUCCUCGAUCUAGAAUGCAAGAAGCAAAGAAGAACGGCGUAGGAAUGCCAGAAAUGAUGAAAGGAGGGGACCCUUAUUGAAGGUUUCAACCAUAUAAUGAUCAUGAGCCACUGGACUGGGCCAGCGGUGAGGAUUGGGGUGAACUCGAAUAUGAUCCAAAGUUCAAAUUCUAAGAGAAAAAACCAUACAAUGACAGUAGAUUAAGCGGGCAAAAGGAUUUAAUCGAGCAAAAUUUUGAUUGAACAAUAAAAAGGUUAAGGGCAUCGGAUCUUCAGACAAUCAGCCCAGUUGACAGUAGUGCUAAGUAGGUCUGAACCCAAAUACACAAUUCAGCAGCUAGACAUUAGUUUCUUGAAACUGGUGGUUCAAGUUGACUUGAAAUUCAUGCUAAAAAAUAAGGAUUCCACCCCAACUUCGGUACAAACAUAAAAAGCCCAAAUUUUCACCGAACUUCUAUAAGCUGAGAAUUUCAGAAGUGAAAGGUCCAACGUUGGACCUUCAGCAAUUGAAACCGAGAACCCACAAUCAUAAGAAAGGAAAGAUUAUAAUUUUCGUUGUCCGGCCACAAAGUUAGAUACAAAACAGCACACAUGACCCAUCUAAGAACCCCUUCGGUCAUGACCAUGACAAUGCAACCUAAAAAAUCUUAUUUCACUUUAAAGCACAAAUCCAAAUGCACCAACAUGAGUUCAUAUAUAAAAGUUGUCAACCAAGUAAAAAAAAUUGAACAUGAAGUCAGACUUGAAACAUAAACAAUGCAGUAUAAGAAGACUGGCGACCAAGACAACCCCAAAGAAAAAAUAAGAUCAAUAAGAAAAUUUCAGUUUUAAAAAAUAAAAAUAGAGAUCAAUAAGAAAUUUCACAGACGAGUUCUACUGGGAUGUCAGAAGGAAAUAAAGAAUAAAUUCAUGGAAAAAGAGAGAGAGAGAGCAUAUUGCGACAUGAUAUACUGUGAUUGUCAGCAAUUGGAUGCCUCGUGGGCACAAAGAAAAUUUAGUCUUUAAAUUGUUUCUUUAAUAGGAGGGGUUAGCAACUCUAACCCAGUUUUCUUAGAGAAACUGCUAAAUGUGUAAAUAAAAGAAAUCAUUUUUCAUGAAACAAUCAUUUUAUAUAUUUUAUGUUUCAUAAAGGUUAGCAGGACACAACAAUAUGCUUGGAAACCAAGUCAUCUUUGUCUAUUUCUCUUCUUAAGGUCCAAUACAUAUCUGAACUCAUAAACAAGAUGAUGAGGGGAAAGCAAGAAUUGGAAUAUGAUAUGGGAAAAUAAUGCCCGAACCUAGUCUCUGCAGCCAUCCCAAAUCAGCGGAUAAAUCAUUGUUCUAUUUCUAGCCUUUUGUUCUGUCACGACCCGAAUCCCAGAUCCGUGACCGGCAACGUAGGAGCGGUGUCGAAAGGACACCUCACCUACGCUAAGCCUCAUAACGGACAUAUCAAAAGAACAAUUUGUUCAAAAAUACGCAGCGGCUCAUAAUAUUCAGAAAUAUUAUAUUAUUCAAAUACUGAUGAAACCGAAAGAUAGUUAUUAAAACAAAAAUAAUAAUUCAUAAUACUAUUUACAUUGCCAAAAUCCAAACUUAAUUAAAACAAGGUAACAGUGGAGCGUCUAAGACAUCAAAUCAAAACUGAAAGGAAAGCCUCGCGAACAAGCUAUUAAGGAAGAUUCCAUCAAACCUGCAGAUGCAUGAAAUCUGCAAGUGAUUUCAGUAACAGCAUGGAGGAAAUCUGUUAAUGAUCCACAGCAAUAACCAAGCCUCAAAUCAUGCUGUGAAUUAAUACAAAUAUUAUGUCCAUAACUAUUUUGAUUACUGCAAUCUUUCCUUUACAAGAAUAUUCAUUACUGUAAUCUUUCCUUUACAAGAACAUGUAACCGCAGUAUAUAAUCAUAGGCUGAACAUCAAUACAAUUAUGUUGAGAAUUACACCGUAAAGUUCUGAGCACUUAAAAUCUCUUUAUGGUAUCAGAGCAAUUCCUCUCUAACGAGAAUUUGAUCCCCAUGUCUUCCACAAAUCAGUCUAUCUCCUCCCCUGAACUUUCCCUUGUUGUUUUCAACAUCAAUACUCAAAUCAAUGAGAAACUCACACCCUCAUCCUUCCCUCAAUGGCGAGCACAGUUUGAGGCUUUUAAUCGGCUAUGAUCUCCUGGACUACGUCAAUGGAGAAUCUCAGUGCCCUGUCUCAGAUGGCACUCCACAGUCUACAACAACAAAAAACCGAUGGGUAAGGCAAGACAAACUGAUUCUCAGUGCCAUUCUUGCAUCCACUUCACCCUCCAUCACGCCUCUCAUUGCCACCACCAAAACCUCACACGAGGCAUGGAAAAAACUAUCAACACUGUAUGCGAGCAAAUCGCGUACAAGGGCAAUGCAACUCAAGGAAGAACUAACCUUGAUUCAGCGUGGAAAUCGACCAAUUUCAGAGUAUCUUCACACGGUCAAAAGUUUGGCCGAUGAAAUUACACUUAUUGAUCACCCCAUCUCCGAUGAUGACUUAACCCUCUAUGUUCUCCAUGGGUUAGGUCCAGAAUUUCGUGAGAUUGCUGCUCCUAUUCGAGCACGAGAAAAAUCCCUUGCCUUCGAAGAACUUCAUGAUAUGCUUGUUGGGCAUGAGAGUUACCUGAGAAGGAUGGAAGCUGCUACACAGCAGCUCGUGGCUGCUGCAAACUUUACCGGCCACCGCUUUGCCAACAAGGAGACCGUCUCCUCUGUAUCGCAGCAAAACAGAGGAGGAAAUAAAGGAAAUGGUUUCUUUCGCCAACCAGGACACAACCGUCCCUCAAAUGGUUCAUUCAGAGACCGCCAGCGCAACAAUAAUAAUUCGGGCCGCUCCAAUCCAAACCGACGCUUCCAGCCAAAGUGCCAAUAUUGUGAUCAAUUGGGUCAUACAGCCAAGAUCUGCCCGAAACUUCAAUCCUCUCCCAUGACUGUUAAUUGUGCUGAAUCCUCAGAUACUCAAGAUAAUAAAUGGUUAAUUGACUCUGCAGCCUCUCACAACAUUACGGGUGAUCUUCAAAACUUAUCAAUUCACUCUGAAUAUGACGGCACUGAUGAGGUCCUUCUUGGUGACGGUACAGGUUUGGCAGUAACACAUAUUGGUUCCUUAGCUUUACCCACACCUACAAAAACUUUUCAUUUACAUGAUACUUUAUGUGUUCCUCAUAUUCACAAGAAUCUCAUUUCAGUUCAUCACUUCACCAAACAUAAUAAUGUUUUUCUUGAACUUCAUCUCUUUUUUUUCUUGUGAAGGACAAAAUCACGGGGGCAAUACUUCUAAGAGGUGCGUGUGAGAAUGGCGUAUACGUGUUUCCAAACUCCUUGAUGGCUUCUCCCACUCCAAAAAAAGUUGCUUAUGUGCAUGAACGGACUUCACUUGAUGGGUGGCACAAACGUCUUGGACACCCUUCAAUCAAACUUGUUCAACAUCUUGUCAAUCAAUUAUCCCUUCCUGUUUCCACAAAAAAAAAUUCAUCUUUAUGUACUUCUUGUUCCACAAAUAAAGCGCAUAAACAACCUUUUGGCUCUACAAGUUUUCAAAGUCACUCUCCACUUGACAUUAUAUACACUGAUGUUUGGGGUCCUGCUCACAUUACUGGGAUUUGUGGUGCACGGUAUUAUCUUCUUUUUGUGGACCAUUAUACCAAAUAUAUGUGGUUUUAUCCAAUGUCUGCAAAAUCUCAGGUAUCCAGUAUUUUUCCCCAAUUCAAAAAACUGGUGGAAAAACGCUUUCAGUCCACCAUCAAAGCCUUGUACUCCGAUAAUGGUGGUGAAUUUCUAAAGUUGAAAACUUACUUGUCCAAUCAUGGUAUAAGUCAUUACACUACUGCUCCCCACACUCCCCAACAAAAUGGUGUUGUUGAAAGACGUCAUCGUCAUCUUGUCGAAACAGGUCUUACCCUGCUUCAUGAUGCCUCAUUAUCUCUUUCUUAUUGGCCUCAUGCAUUUCAAACUGCUGCUUAUCUCAUAAAUCGCCAACCAACUCCUCUCCUUCAAAAUAAAUCCCCAUUUGAAGUGCUUUUUUGUCAACAACCAAAUUAUCUUAAAUUAAGGAAAUUUGGAUGUUUAUGCUACCCUCUCACUAAACCGUAUAACACCCAUAAAUUGCAGCCUAAGUCCACUCCCUGUAUCUUUAUAGGAUACUCACAAACUCAGAAUGCCUACAAAUGCCUAACCUUAAUAAUCAAUUUACCAUUCAAACAAAACCAUAACUCAAAAUCAUCAUAAUCUUCCAUAAUCAACUUAAUAAUCAAUUACCCACAACAAUCAACCCCUAACCUUCAAUUUAAUUCAUCAAUUUAAACCAAAACACAAAUUCUCAAAACCCUAACAUUCAUCAAAAUUGAAAUUUAAACUUCAAUAACACAUAUAUAUACAUAAUCUUACCUUUUUACUUAUUUCCUCCAAAUCUCUUUAUUUUCCCCUUAUUUUUCCUUCUUUUCUCUUCUUCUUCCUCCCUCUUCUCUCUCACGGUUUUGCUCUCUAAUUUUGCAGGUCUCUUCUUGUUUUUUUUUUAUAUUAUUAUUUAUUCUAUUUAUAUAUAUAUCAACUAUUUAUCCAAUUACUACUAUACCCCUCAUUUAAUUUAUUCCUACAUCUAAGCCUUCAAGGGCUUUCUAGGCUUUUCCUAUCCCUUUAAUACAAAACAUCACAGCCAUGGCCCUGGAAGCUUCUGGACAGAAUUUCAUUUGGGUUGUGAGGAGAGAAAGCAAACAAAGCUUGCAGAAAAGGAGGAGUGGUUGCCAGAAGGAUUUGAGAAAAGGAUGGAAGGGAAGGGCUUAAUAGUAUCGGGAUGGGCACCCCAGGUGCUGAUCCUUGAUCAUAAAGCUGUUGGAGGGUUCAUGACUCACUGUGGUUGGAACUCAACAUUGGAGGGAGUGACUGCAGGGGUGCCGAUGGUCACAUGGCCACUUGGUGCGGAACAAUUUUGCAAUAAAAAGCUGAUUACCGAUGUUCUCAAAAUAGGAAUUGGAGUUGGUGCCCAGGAAUGGUCAAGAUAUAAAAAGAAAAUUACAGUGAGGAAGGAGGACAUAGAGAAGGCAAUUAUUCAGUUGAUGGUUGGUGAAGAAGCUGAGGAAAUAAGAAACAGAGCAAGGGUACUGAAAGAGAUGGCAAGGAGGGCUACGAAAGAAGGAGGAUCAUCUUACUCUGAUUUAACUGCAUUUCUUGAAGAAUUAUAGGCCCUUGAGACAAGCAAGCAAGAACGUGCACCACAUCAACAAGACUGUCUUGUUGCAUCAUUCUGAAAACUAGAAGAGUCAGAAGAAAAAGGAAAAAAAAAGGUAUCCCGUAGAAUGCUAAAUGUUGCUUCUCAGAUAUUUAGUUUUUCAACAAAAUAAAAGAAAGUGCGUUCUACAUGAAUUUUGCAUCCAUACAACAGUCAUACAUAUCCGUGGUUUCAAUGACAUGAUAGCUUUAUUGAUGACUCCAAUGGAUACAAAGUCUAAAAGUCUAAACAAACUACUUGAUUUGAAAUGUGCUAGCUUGUUUUCUGUUCAAAACGAAAACCAUACACUCGAAUACACUUUGAUUCCUUUCUAACAUUAAUUCAUGAAAUCUCUUAAAGGGUUAUGGCUCUAAACCCAGUUGAUCGUAAAUCACAGCUGGACUUGUCUACUUAAGGAGGAAGUCCUAUGGGAAUCUCUGAAAAUGUUAAACAUGAUAAAGCUAGCAGAAGUACUCACCUUAACCAGCUAAUUAAAGAUCCUGGCUGACCACAAGCUGCAACUCGGGAAGUACUCAUCCAAGUAUGAUGAAAACUUGGAUAUAUAAUCUUUACGCAUACAUAAUUAAGAAAACCCGAAGAAUUUUAUUUUAUUUUAUUAGAAAAUAACUCGCAGCACAAGUUUCCAACACCUCAGUCCAUGAAUAACAAGAUUUGCAAGCAAAGAAAAAGGAAUUUUAAUAAAGGAUAGAAGUUCUCCAAAGUAGAUAUCAUCCUCGAUCUAGAAUGCAAGAAGCAAAGAAGAACGGCGUAGGAAUGCCAGAAAUGAUGAAAGGGGGGGAACCUUAUUGAAGGUUUCAACCAUAUAAAGAUCAUGAGCCACUGGACUGGGCCAGCGGUGAGGAUUGGGGUGAACUCGAAUAUGAUCCAAAGUUCAAAUUCUUAAGAGAAAUAACCAUACAAUGGCAGUAGAUUAAGCGGGCAAAAGGAUUUAAUCGAGCAAAAUUUUGAUUGAACAAUAAAAAGGUUAAGGGCAUCAGUGCUAAGUAGGUCUGAACCCAAAUACACAAUUUACCGGCUAGACAUUAGUUUCUUGAAACUGGUGGUUCAAGUUGACUUGAAAUUCAUGCUAAAAAAUAAGGAUCCCACCCCAACUUCGGUACAAACAUAAAAAGCCAAAAUUUUCACCGAACUUCUAUAAGCUGAGAAUUUCAGAAGUGAAAGGUCCAACGUUGGACCUUCAGCAAUUGAAAACGAGAACCCGCAAUCAUAAGAAAAGAUUAUAAUUUUCGUUGUCCGGCCACGAAGUUAGAUACAAAACAGCACACAUUUCCCAACCUAUCUAAGAACCCCUUCGGUCAUGACCGUGACAAUGCAACCUAAGAAAUCUUACAAAUCCAAAUGCACCAACAUGAGCUCAUAUAUAAAAGUUGUCAACCAAGUAAAAAACAUUGGACAUGAAGCCAGACUUGAAACAUAAACAAUGCAGUAUAAGAAGACUAGCCAAAUAGGACAACCCCAAAGAGAAGACAAGAUCAAUAAUAAAAUUUCAGUUUAAAAAAAUAAAAACAGAGAUCAAUAAAAAAAUUCACAGACGAGACCACUCUUGUUUUUCAACUAGAAUGUCAGAAGGAAAUAAAGAAUAAAUUCAUGGAAAAAAAGAGAGAAAGCAUAUUGCGACAUGAUAUACUGUGAUUGUCAGCAAUUGGAUGCCUCAUGGGCACAGAGAAAAUUUAGUCUUUUAAAUUGUUUUUUUAAUAUGAGGGGUCAGCAACUCUAACUCAGUUUUCUUAGAGAAACUGCUAAUUGUGUAAAUAAAAGAAAUCAUUUUUCAUGAAACAAUCAUUUUAUAUAUUUUAUGUUUCACAAAGGUUAGCAGGACACAACAAUAUGCUUGGAAACCAAGUCAUCUUUGUCUAUUUCUCUUCUUAAGGUCCAAUACAUAUCUGAACUCAUAAACAAGAUGAUGAGGGGAAAGCAAGAAUUGGAAUAUGAUAUGGGAAAAUAAUGCCCGAACCUAGUCUCUGCAGCCAUCCCAAAUCAGCAGAUAAAUCAUUGUUCUAUUUCUAGCCUUUUGUUCAUCCCAAAUUUCCAACCAUCAUCGGACCGCUUAAUCCUCUGCUCUAAAUCUAUACCUGUUCUACCAGGCCACACAGAUUCACAGCCAUAUCAGCUUUUCAUGUCCUAUUUCUCCCAUAUAUGGCUCAUGGCCACAUGAUCCCAACCGUUGACAUGACAAAGAUUAGUUACUAGGAAUGGGGUUAAAGCAACCGUUGUUUCCACUCCCCUUAAUGGACCCCUCUUAUCUAAAACAAUAGAAAGAGACAAGAAACUGGAUCUUGAUAUCAGCACUCACAUAAUAAAAUUUCCUUCUGCUGAGGCAGGGCUACCUGAAGGGUGUGAGAACCUAAGUUCUAAUAAUUCGUGGAACAUGAAUUCGGAUCUCUUAAAGGCCUUAAGCAUGCUUCAACACCACUUUAACAGAUCCUUGAAGAAUGCCACCCAAAUUGUCUCGUGGCAAACAUGAUGUUUCUGUGGGCUACAGGAGUUGUUGACAAGGUCGGGAUUCCAAGGUUGAAUUUCAAUGAAACGAGUUUUUUUUGUAUGUUUUUCUUUGAUUCCCAAAAACGAUGUGAUCCCCACAAAAGAGUGGUUUCAGUCUAUCAGAUUUUGAACCUUCUAUAGUGCCUGAAUUACCAGACCAGAUAAAGAAGACAAGACUGCAAAUGCAACUGCCAGAUUACUUAAAACAGACAACUGAGAAUGGACUUACAAGCUAAAUCAGAUUUCAGAAUCAGAAGUGAGAAGCUAUGGAGUCCUCAUGAAUAGUUUCCACGAGCUGGAACCAGCUUACUCAGAACACUGCAGGAAGGCAAGGCACAUCAGCUGCUGUCACUUUGCAACAGGAACAUUGAAGAUAAAGCAGAAAGAGAACAUAUAGCAUCCAUUGGUGAACAUGAAUGUUUGAGAUGACUCGCCUUGAAGAAACCCAACUCAGUUCUAUAUAUUUGUUUUGAAAGCUUGUUUGACUUCCAGCUACUCAAUCGUGUGGGAUUGCCUUAGCUCUUGAAGCUUUUUUUCCAGAAUUUCAUUUGGGUUGUAAGAAAGGGAGAGGUGAGAAAGCAUGAAGACAUGGAGGAGUGGUUGCUGGAAGGAUUUGAGAGAAGGAUGGAUGCGAAAGGAUAAAUGAUAAGGGGAUGGGAACCACAGGUGCUAAUCCUCGACCAUGAAGCUGUUGGAGGAUUCUUGACUCAUUGUUGAUGGAACUCAACGUUAAGAGGGAGUGACUGCAGGGGUGCCAAUGGUCACAUGGCCACUUUAUGCAGAGCAGUUUGAUAAUGAAAAGCUGAUUGCAUAUGUUCUAAGAAUGGGAAUUGGAGUUGGUGCCCAGGAAUGGUCAAGAUAUGAAAAGAAAAUUCUAGUGAGGAGGGCCGACAUACAGAAGGCAAUUAUUCAGCUGAUGGUUGACGAAGAACAAAUAAGAAAUAGAGCAAGGAAGUUGAAAGAGAUGGAAAGGAAGGAAACGGAAGAAGGAGGAUCGUCUUUCUCUGAUUUAACUGCAUUGCUAGAUGAAUUAAUGGCCCUUGAGACAAGCAAGCAAGAAUAUGCAGCACAUUAACAUGACUGUCUUGUUAUAGUUUCCUAUUAGAAUGUUCAGAAAAUAAGUAAUGUUGUUAGCAUUUAUUAUUCUGAAAACUAGAAUAGCCAGCAAAAGAAUAAUGACUACCGUAGAAAUACUAAAUGUUGCUCGUCAUUAUUCAGGUUUUCACAGAAAUAAAAGAAAGGGCAUUUUACAUGAAUUUUGCAUCCAUUCACCAGUCACAGAUAUCCGAUGACUGUGCCUAGAAGAAAAUACAUGGUAGUUAGUAGUAAUUACUUUUUAAGAUUUUUUUAUUUAAAAUAUAUUAAAAUAAUAUAUUAUUUAUUUUUCAAACUUAUUUUUUUUACAUAAGCAAAUGAUAUGAAAAUUAUAAAAAAAUUAUUUAUUUAUUUUUGAAAACACUUUUAAAAUGUAAAAAUCUAAUCUUCAUCUAAAAAAAUAUUUUUUUAAAUAAAAAAUAUUUUUUAAAAAACAUAAUAUACUAUAUGUAAUAUUUUGGUUGGAAAAUACAAUAAAGCCCUUGGAGGCUUAAAGAGAGGGUAAAUGAUUGAAGGGUAUUGUGGUAAUUGACCAAUAGUUGAUAAAUAUAUAUAAGAAAAAAAAAGAAAGAAUGAUCUGAUUUUGAGAGAAAGAGAGUUACGGGAGAAGAGAAGAAAAGAGGAAGAAGAAGAAAAGACAGGAGAGAAGGAAAGAAAGGAGAAAAGAAGUAGAGGAAAUAAGUAAAAAGGUAAGAUUUAUGGUUUUAAGUGUAUAAUAUGUUAAAUUUCGGUUUUGAUUAAUUUUGAGAGUUUUGAAGUUUGUAUUUUGAGUUAAUUGAUGAAUUAAUUUGAAGGUUAGGAGUUGAUUAUUGUGGGUAUUUGAUUAAUUAGUUGAUUUUGAGAGAUUGAAUUGAAAGAUAAUGAUUUUGAGUUAUGAUUUUAUUUAAAUGGUGAAAUUAUGUUAGAAAUCAGGGGAUAACAGUAGGUGAUAUGUUGAAAUUCUGGGUUUGAGGUUGAAGAUGACGAAAAUUCAAUUUGGUCCCUCAAUUUGUGAAAAUUGCAAUUUAGUCCCCGAACUUUGGAAAUUUUACAGAUUGGUCCCUGGGGCAUAAAUUGAGGUUCUGAACAGAACUGAGGAUGAUUUAAGGACAAAAUUCCAGUAUAAUUAAUAUUUUCAGUUUGGUCCUCCAAUUUGACAAAAAAUAUAAUUUGACCCUAAAAAUUUGGUAAAGUUCAAGAAUGGUCCUUGGAGCAUAAUGAUAUAUCCUGGACAGAAUUAAGGAUUAAUUAUGGACAGAAUUUCAGUAUGGUUAUAUAUUUACAGUUCGAUCCUCAAAAUUUGGUAAAAUUACGUUUUGGUCCCUAUUUUGGAAAAUUGUCAUUUUAGUCCCUAAACUUGGGAGAUUAAGCCCAGUUUAUUUUAUGCUUUGGGAUCUUUUGUUUGAUUUGUUUUUUAGUAUAUUUCAUAUAUUUAUUGUAGGUUCUCUUAACGAUUCUUAAUCGGAUUUUCGGGUCUUUCGUCCGACAUUCCUUUUAGUUCUAUAUUUUCCGGGUGAGUGGAAUAAUCUUUAAUGUGCAUAUAAUAUAAAUAAAUAUGUAUAUUGAUUAUACAAUGAGUACAACUAGUAAAUUUCUUGAAUAUUUACGUAUGUUGCUUUAUUUUCCGAGUACUCAUUUAUUUUUGAAUUUGCACUCGCAAUCUGUUAAAGUAAAUUCUAUUUGAUAUGAUAUACAUUUCUUUGAUGAUUAUGUGAAUAUCUGUUAUGCCUUGAUAUGGGACUUGUCAGUACUCCAUGCUAACGGAGAAUAGUUAGCUUGUGUGCACAUAGUAUUCUGUUACCUAGCUGGUGAGAGAGGCAUCAGCCUGUGGUGAUUGAUCAUCCCACAGUGGUCACCGACGGGUGUCAUCUGGUCACCGACGGGUGUCAUCUGGUCACCUUCGGGUGUCAUCUGAUCUCUGACAUGUAAUCCACUACGUUAUGAUAAUAUGUUACGUUAUGAUAAUAUGUUUAGUAAGUAUAUGUAUAUGUAUAUCAAGAUAUUAAUAUCUGAAAUGUAUAUUAAAUGUUAUUCCCUCACUGAGUUGGUUGAACUCACCUCUCAUUUUUAAUAUUAUUUCAGGUUCUUAGUUUCUGGGACUUUGUUGAGUGUUUCCGCUUCUUCAGUUCUGGUCGGUAUGCCUUGCUUGUUCGCGAGGCUUUCCUUUCAGUUUUGAUUUGAUGUCUUAGACGCUCCACUGUUACCUUGGAUUAAUUAAAUUUGGAUUUUGACAAUGUAAUGAGUAUUAUGAAUUAUUAUUUUUGUUUUAAUAACUAUCUUUCGGUUUAUCAGUAUUUGAAUAAUAUAAUAUUUUUGAAUAUUAUAAGCCGCUGCGUAUUUUUGAACAAAUUGUUCUUUUGAUAUGUCCGUUCUGAGGCUUAGCGCAGGUGAGGUGUCCUUUCGACACCUCUCCUACGUUGCCGGUCACGGAUCCGGGAUUCGGGUCGUGACACUAUACUACUAAAUACACUGUAUGAAUAAAUAUCUAUUUUCCAGAUAUAAAAAACCCACUCUAGAAGGAAACAUGAGCCCGGCGCUCUUCCCCAACAUGGCCAGCACAACUUAAUACAUCUCAUAUUAUAUGUGAUUUAUUGAGUGUUUGGUAUACUUUCAACAUGUUUUUAGAAAAAAAUUAAUUUUUCUUCUUUAAAUCAAUCUUUCAAUAUUUUUAAAUGAUUUUAAUAUACUAAAAUAAAAAAUAUAUUUUUAAAAAAAUAAAAUUAAUACAAUUUUUUAGUAAAAAAAAAAAACUUUAAAAAACAACCACUAUCAUAUCCUCAAAAACCCCUUUAAUCUAACUUAUUAUUAAUUGCUAAAUAAGUAAAAGAUCACAACUCUUAUUUUAAUCUCAAAAUAUUGCUUUAUAAGUUUAAUAAUAUCCCGGUCAUCCCUAUAAUUUAUCCUUUUGAUAAUGAAUAAUGUUAAAAAAAAUAAAAAUAAACUCUAAUAUGAACUCUGGUCAUCAAAUAACCAGUUAGAUUUAUAGUGAUUUUUUUAAAAUUUAAUCACCAUGGCAAUUAAAUUUCUAUAAUCUGAAUUAUUAAAUUUAAAACACCACUUGUUGGAUUUUUUUUGGGAUGAAACCAUUUUUUUACAUGUGGUGGAAUAUUUAAUUAAUUUGUUUUUUCAUUUGAGUUACUUUACAGGUCAAGUUGAAUCUCUCCACUUCUCUUCUUAAAUUAAUUUGUAUUUUAUAUUAAUUACAAACAAAUUUAAUUCUCACAAGAUGCAUAAAUUGAUUUGUCUUUUAUUAGCUUGUUUUUAUUAUGAUAUUUAUCACCGAAAAUUAAGCUAAAAAAUACUCGGAUUUUUUUAUCCCGUAAAAUACUUAUCACAAUGACAAUCAAACAAAAUUAAAAUUAGAAUAGUUAAAUCUUCUCAUACUAUUUAAAUUGAAAAAAAAGAAGUUGUUCUUACUCUGUUCUAUAAAAUUUUUUUUUUUUAAAAAACUUUGGUUUGUGCUCAGAGUGUUGUUAUGCCCGAUCCCAUUUAUAUUUGGGUGCUAGGGAAUGCGAGCAUUUAUUAUUGGGUCCGUGUCAAGGUUAUUAAAAUCGUGAUUCAACUCGUAAAAUUAUAUGUUUUUACAAGUUAAUAUAGGCUUUACAUUUUAAAUCGCUCAUAAAAAUCAAAAAUCAGUAAAAUCAGGUUAAAAUCAAGUAAAAUCGUAAAAAUCGAGUGAAAUCGCGAUUUCACCACGAUUGAACGAUUUUACCCGCAGGGAAUAAACAUUCAGUGUUGCUGCCAGGUGUCGCCUUCCUACUGGCUUAACAUAUCAAAUGCAAUUAACUUAAUUCACCGAAUCAGUCUUCUCUCUUCUCAUUCACAAGUCACGUUCUCACAAUCUCACUUCUCAGAACAUCACAGAUUCAAAAUCUCUAAAUUGAAAAUCCCAAAUUUCACAGUGACUCAGUCUCGGUCUUAUGGGCAGAGUUUGAUAAAAAUUUGUCUUGGGCAUGUGGCUUUCACUUCUCAGACUCAGUCUCACUUGGAAUUGGAACUCUCAGUCUUAGAGGCCACCUCAUCUUCUUAUCGGCUACUGUAGGCGGCGUAGGUGUCUUUUGUAAUUGAAUUCAAGUCGAUGCUUUCAACUCUUCUCCACUGGUUCGCGGCGUUCGCCUACUCGUAUGUGCCGUCUAGGGGCUCAUCAGAAGCAAGAACUUCUACCUUGUCAACUAGCUCAAGAUUUGAAGGUAAUUCGUAGUUCGCUAACAUUCACUCACCUGGAAUACUUCCACCUAUCGGCUCAGAAUUCCAUUACGCCCAGUUAACUCACUGCUUUCGCGGAUUCGCUAAGCAACUGAAAGAAAAAAAAAUAAAUGCUCAAAGGUGGCUUGGUAACAUGCUGGCUAAGGUUGGUCUCCCUAAAGCCGAGCGUAGGGUGGCUACUCUACUCCAGUAUUUUCCCUUUCUUUGCGGGCAGGGGUGCUAAUUGGGUCUGUGACGUCUGUCAUCUGUGAAUGAAUGGGUUUGCAGUUUGCUAAUUGUUUAUGAACGGGUCUGUAAAUGGUUUGAGUCUGCAUUUGUUUUGAUAAAAACUGCCACUCAUUUAUUACCGAUUUUGUGGUUGAACUUUGGAUUAAACAAUUUAAUAUUUAUUUUUAAGGCAGCGACUAGCGAGUCAUUUCCAUGUCUUCCCGAAUUGAAGAAGAAUAUAACUGGGUUCUGAUUUUGAAAACAAAGUCUGUGACUGUGAAUGGAUCUGUGAAUUCAAUAUUAGUUGAAUGCAGUAUUAGCUUCUUUUUUUUUUUUUAAUAGCUGGAUGUUUAAUAUUAAAAUUAAUUAUAAUCAUAAAAUAUUUGGAUUGAUUGCAGGGUUGAUUGUGUUUCCGAAUUGAAGUAUGAAUUUUUUUUUAAUAUAUUUUAAAAUUUUUUAUGAUUUUACGAUCUGUUUUUACAAUCCGAGUUUGUAGAUAACUUUCCGUGCCGUAUUAAAAUCACGAUUUUAACAAUCUUGAUCUGCGCAUUAAAUCCGGAUCCAGUUAACUGGGGUGCUGGGCUAACUAAUCCAGCGCUCCAGAUUAAAUUUUUUUGGGUAUGGGUGCAGUUUUAUCUUUCAUGCAUUAUAGCAUCCUUAUUUACUUGAACAUGUACCACAAGUCCAACUUGCCCAACCUAAUAUUUAUUUGGAAUUUUUUUUUGGAUCCCAUGUAGGUUUUUUAUUAUUUUUUUAUUAAUUUAAUAUGUAUUAUUUUAAAUAAAAUAUAAUUUAAAAUAUCAAAAAAAUCAAAUUAUAUUUCUGUCUUUCAUCUCCACAUAAAAUAAGAUUUAUAGGUUAUAAAUACUCCACGGCAUUUCAAGUUCCAAGUUUAUAAUCUCAACAUUCUUAUCACUUUCAAAAUAUAUAUUUUCAGAAUUGACUCAUCGUGGAUGGAACUCGACUCUUGAAGGCAUAACUGCAGGGAAGCCCAUGAUUACAUGGCCUGUAUUUGCUGAGCAAUUCUAUAAUGAAAAGUUGGUGACUGAUGUUUUGAAAACUGGAGUUGGUGUUGGAGUCAAGGAAUGGUUAGAGUGCGUGGAGAUCAUGUUAAGAGUGAAGCUGUAGAGAAGGCAAUCACUCGAAUCAUGGUGGGUGAAGAAGCAGAGGAAAAGAGGAGCAGAGCAAAUAAGCUAGGAGAAAUGGCAAGGAAGGCUGUUGAAGAAGGUGGUUCUUCGUGGUCUGAUUUCAAUGCUUUGAUUGAAGAGUUGAGGUCGUAUCGCCCUUGAAACUUCGACAGGAUUUCGAAAGGAUUGUCACGAACGUCGGACAACGUAUAAUAUACUAAAUUAUGUAUUGAAUUUUUUUGGGUUUUUUUUAAUAUAAAAAUAGCUAGUAAUAUACUAAAUUAUGUGAGCUAAAAACCGUGGACAAAAACUAAUCUAUAAAAAUCAAGAUUCAAGCUUUAACCACGCAAUUAAUUGUUUUUGAUCAAACGAGCAAAACCCAGAAUGUGUUUUCAAUUGAACAAUCCUUAUGUCCAUGAAAUACAACACAUGCCUUUGACUAGAUAUGGGUUAGUUCACAGUUCUUGCACUCACACACACUCUUUUAUGCUUCAAAAUUCACAAGUCUAACAGUGAUAUGAGAACUUCAUAUCCGUGCUCUCUCUUUCUCUUUCUAUUUCACUCUUUACUGAUCUCAACAAAGAAAAAGACAUCAGAUUCAUUGGCUAAACUGAGUGAAAUUAAGGCUUAUCCACAAUUCUACCAAAAGAGCCUAUCCCUACAAGAAUUCCUAACCCAUUUUAGCUCCUAAUACGGAGAAAAAAAUGUUUCUUAUUCGUAACACCUUCUACUUACAAUGAACUAGGAUCAACUCAUAACAUAAACUCAAAGAACCUCAUCAUUCUUUGAAAUCUGACGACUUUAUCUAAUUACCUACGAAGUAAUCUAAAAUUUCUCGUUAAUAAUACAAGAACCACCAAAUCAUUUGUUUGCCUCACAGGGACACAUCUGCGGUUUCUCAAGCACCGUACUUGGUUAAACUUUCCUUGUCAUCAUAGUGUUAGAGAAUAAUAUAACUCAUUUCUCGGGAUCUCACCUAAUAGUUUAAGCUAUUGUGUUGAGAUGGUUUUUUGACAUGGUAUCAGAACCUUGAUGACCAAGUGGUUACGAGUUCGAAUCUCACCAUUCCUAUUUAUUUGAUAAAAAUUAAGCACAAAGUAAUGUGGUUAUGUUCAAGUUUCAAGCCCAAAAGACUUUCAUUUGAGGGGAUGUAUUAGAGAAUAAUAUAAAUCAUUUUUUAGAACCUCACCUAAUAGCUUAAGCUAUUAGGUCGAGAUGGUUUUUUGACACAUAACAGGACCGAGUUGAAGUCAUAGGCUUAUGCUAAUCCGAGUGGACUGAGAUUUGGUAAGCCCGAGAUAGGCCCAAAAGGACUGCAUUUGGAUUUGUGCAGCUUGUAUAUGAACCUUUACAUUAUUCAGACAAACCUUUCAUACAUUCUUAGUUUCUUCCUGGAAAUUCAACUGCCUGUCUCGAAAGAGCACUAUAACCGACCAAAUUUCUCUUGGUUCCAAUAUGAGGAUGACUCGAUGAUGGAACCUUACAACGAAUGGAGUUGAACGAAGCAGGGUUUGAGCAAUACCUACGGUGCAAGGAGAAAGCCGCACACUCCCGCGCUGAUCUCUGACCAGGAAGAUCAGGAAUACAAUUUUUUCUAAUAUCAAGAACGCCACUCCUCUCUAGUUUCGUACACUUUGGCCCUAGUUUUGUAAAAUAAUUACUUGAAAGUGACAAAUUCACCAAUUUCCCCAAUGCGCACACCACCUCUGGCACCUGUCCAUACAAUAAGUUGCUGGCCAAAUUGAACUGUUCAAGCUUAGCCAAGCAUCCCAACGAGCAUGGUAAAGGACCGGUUAAGAAGUUGUUACUAGCAUCAAAAAGGACUAGUUUUCUCAAAAAACCUAGUUCAUAUGGGAGGCAACCUGUAAGUAAGUUGUGCGAGAACAGCACUUCAGUUAAUGUCGCGGAAGCUUUAAGGAUGCUGCGUGGGAUUGGACCGAUAAAUUUGUUGUAAGCCAAGGUGAGGUAAAGCACUGGGGUCGAGCCUAGGUUUUCAGGUAGUCCUUGCAUAAAAUUGUUGUUGUUGAGGAAGAGUGCGUCAAGGCGUUGAGUGAAUACUCGUGGAGGAACUGUCCCAGUAAAGAAAUUGAAUCGGAUAUCUAAAAAUGAUAGGGCAGGGAUUCCAAGAACCUCCAUGGGAAAACUGCCAAAGAAAUUAUUGUUGCUUAUGUCUAGUUCAUAAAGAAAUGGUAGUUUGGUGAUUUUUGGUGAUAUGGUGCCAGAAAAUUUGUUAGAGUUGGCAUGGAAGAGAGCAAGGUCAGGGAGUUGAUCAAUGAAGCCAUCGAGAGUAGGGGCAGACAGCUGGAAUCCAUUGAAAUCAAUGGAAGCAAGGGUAAUGGCAGAGUCAUUAUCAGGUGGACUAGUACAGUAGAAGCCUUUGUAGUUGCAUAUAUCCGCGCCACCCCAAGUUUGAGUGAUGUUGAGGGGAUCAGAGGUGAUAGUGUUCUUGAAGCCUUGGAUUAUUGGAUACACUAAGGCAAGCCUUUGGUCUAAGAAGUUCAAGAUUUCUGGAAUUAAUGGAGGUGAUAUCAAUGGAGACAGGCCUUGAAAGUCUUGGCAACAAGCCAGGCAAGUGAAACAUGGAAGGAAGAGGAUUGAGAUGUGGAAUAUGCUUCUGUUGUUUGAAGAAAUGCUUCCCAUUUGAUACAUGAGGUAGCCAGAAGAGAGUUUUGAAGAAGAUGACGGGGAUUAAGAGUGCUUUCCAGUGUUAAUUUAUACUUAAUAGUUAGUGUGGUUGGUGAGUCUCAUUAUCAAAUUGGAAGGCUUGUUAAUGCUUGUUCUUCCACUUGUCUUUCGGUGGAUUGAAUCCGAGGCAUGUGUUAUGACUAAUCAUUCUCCUCCGAGGUCAAUCUGUAGAUGAUUUUGGAUUUGUUUUAGGAGCAGAACUCGGGCGAGCUCUUCAAUUUUGUGCGCGUUGGGUUGCAGUUCAUUACUCGAAGAAAAUCGUCGUGUCAUUUAAGUUUAGUGAGGCUCUCUUCAACUGCAGGUUGAUAGCCAGAAUCCCAUCACUCUGGUUCCUGGUUUCCAUCCACUGAGGGUUCUGCAGUAAGAGUAUGGAUGGCAUUUUUCCAAAAGCAAUGAUCAGCCCAUUAAGGGGAAAUUAGUGCGCCAUUAACAAGAAGUGGGAUGCUGGCCUUUGAUACCAUGGGUGUCAUCGGGAAAAGCUGGCUGGGAAAUGAAUACCAUGGUUGAGAAAUUAGUGCGCCAUUAAGAAAUGAAUACCAUGUUGUACCGUGUUCCUUUAAUUUUAAUUUUAUUUAAAAUAGGUUUUUUAUAUAUAUAAUUUCAUAUAAUUUUAAUAUGUUAAUGUUAAAAAUAAUCAAUAAAAUUAUUUAAAUACAACCAAAAUCUCUUAUUAGUCUUGUCUAACAAAGUAUUUUUCGUGGUAUGAACUAUGAACAUGUUGAGUCAAUUUAUUUAUUUUUUUGAUUUGUUUUGAUAGAUAGGCCGGAGUGAUAUUUUUUUAAUGGCUAGUUUUCUUAAAGUAUCCUAAGCACUAAGCAUUAAGAAAAAAAAAAAAAAGAGGCAAGCAUGGUUUUGUUUUUACUCUUCAAAAAUAUAUUUUUUUAAAAAAAAAUGUAAUUUUUUUAUUUACUUUAAAUUAAUUUUUUUUUAAUAUUUUCAGAUUAUUUUAAUGCGUUGACAUAAAAAAUAAUUUUAAAAUAUUAAAAAAAUUAUUUUUAAUAAAAAUAUAUUUUAAAAAAUAACUUAUUAUCGAAUACUAGUUUGUUUAUUUUUCAUGGGCUUCACACUGACCUUCCCAUAAAAAAAAUCCCCCGUACGGAAAUCCCAGUUUAUACUUCUUAACUCGUCGCAACCAGCAGACCAACCCAGUUAAGCUAUAUAGUUGCAUUAAGCUAUAUAGUUGCAUUUGCUUUGAAAUCGAGAAGAAAACAGGAAUGAGUUCACCUUAUUGAAAACAGGAAGUAAAGGGGACAAAAUAUCAUUAAGCUAUAUAGUUGCAUUUGCUUUGAAAGCAGAAAUGAGUUCACCUUAUUCAUUAUGAUUCAUACGACAAGCUAUAAGCUGAUCAGGAGAAAUAUGUGUACAUAGAUAGGAGCAGCCAUCAAGCAAAUCAAGAGACUAUCUUGAAGGGAUCCAUUUAAAGCCGCAGCUUAUGCGGUUUAAGGGCAUUAUAUGUUAUAGGUGCAGCAGCCGGAGCCUUAGAUUGUUGAUCAGAUGUCUCCAAUGAACUUGAAUAACCACCCUUCCUGCAAGGAAUAUAGCUGAGCGACCUCUUAUUGGGACAAGUACUCUUUUUAGAAAAGAACUUGCACAAUCAGCUGCUGAUCUCUGACGAGGAAGAUCCAAAAUGCAAUUCAUUCUAACAUCAAGAAUCCUUUUCUUUAUCAAUUUCCUGCAUCAGGUCCGACCUGAGUGAAAUAGUUGUACGAGAGAGACAGGUUUGCUAAUCCAGGCAGGUCGCACACCAUCUCCGGCACCGGCCCGUAAAAUUUAUUCACGGCCAAAUUCAGGAUCUCCAUCUUUUUUAGGCAUGCAAAUGAAUGGGGUAUUGGGCCAGUCAACUUGUUGCUGCCCACAUCAAACACGACAGCCUUGUCCAAUUUGCCAAUCUCGUAUGGCAAGCACCCUUCGAGUUCAUUGUUCAAGAAAAGCACUUCAAGAAGGUUUCGGGCAUUGCCGAUACUUUUUGGAAUGGGACCACUAAAAUUGUUGUUGGCCAAAGUGAGAUAAAGGACAGGUGUGGAACCGAGAUUACAAGGAAGCUGUUGUGAGAAUUUGUUGUUGUUGAUUGAAAAGCACAUCUAGGUCUAAGUUGAAGACUUCAGCUGGAACUGACCCUGAAAAUGAGUUGAACCUGAUGUCUAAAAAGGUUAAGUUGGUGGCUUGAAGAACAGACACAGGGAAUUCACCAGAGUACUUGUUGUUGCUGAGAUCGAGCUCAAAUAAGUAACGGACUCUGGAAGUG
rnacentral:lncRNA from 1 species